GAUGAACGCUGACAGAAUGCUUAACACAUGCAAGUCAACUUGAACUUCGGUUUGGGUGGCGGACGGGUGAGUAACGCGUAAAGAACUUGCCUCACAGAUAGGGACAACAUUUGGAAACGAAUGCUAAUACCUGAUAUUAUGAUUAUAUGGCAUCGUAUAAUUAUGAAAGCUAUAUGAGCUGUGAGAGAGCUUUGCGUCCCAUUAGCUAGUUGGAGAGGUAACGGCUAACCAAGGCGAUGAUGGGUAGCCGGCCUGAGAGGGUGAUCGGCCACAAGGGGACUGAGACACGGCCCUUACUCCUACGGGAGGCAGCAGUGGGGAGUAUUGGACAAUGGACCAAGAGUCUGAUCCAGCAAUUCUGUGUGCACGAUGAAGUUUUUCGGAAUGUAAAGUGCUUUCAGUUGGGAAGAAAAAAAUGACGGUACCAACAGAAGAAGUGACGGCUAAAUACGUGCCAGCAGCCGCAGUAAUAC
rnacentral:rRNA from 1 species